UUGCUGACUGCAAACGAUGAGAGUGC
rnacentral:piRNA from 1 species